CCACGCACGCUGACGGAGCGCAAUGGGAGCGCGUCCAACGCAGCCUUCUCGACCCCUCUCGAACGGAACGGUCAAAAAAAAAUAAUAAUAAAUGAAACGAUACCUCUACUUUCGGUUAGAGUAUUCCGUCAAACAAAACCACCUCCCCCCAGUUGGAAACUUAUCAACGCCAGCCGAACCGCAAGGGACGGCCGAGCCAGCCGCUGACACGGUCGGUGACCUCCCAACUCCAACUCCCUAAAAUUCAAUUCAAACCCUAUCAGUUAUCAGCCGACGACGCACCAUCCGAUAAAAAAAAAAGAAAUCAAUUAAAGGCUGGCGUCCGUCGUUACUUCCAGCAUCCCGAUUUCCACGCCCCUGACGUCUUCUUGCCAUCUUUUUUCCCAUCCUUCUUUUAAAUUUAUUACUAUUUUAAAAAGCCAAAAAAAAAAUC
rnacentral:lncRNA from 1 species